UACAGAGGUGGCAAGCGUUGUUCGGAAUUACUGGGCGUAAAGGGCGCGUAGGCGGCCCUGUAAGUCCCGUGUGAAAUCCCUCGGCUCAACUGAGGAACUGCACGGGAUACUGCUAGGCUUGAGUUCGGGAGAGGGAAGCGGAAUUCCGGGUGUAGCGGUGAAAUGCGUAGAUAUCCGGAGGAACACCGGUGGCGAAGGCGGCUUCCUGGACCGAUACUGACGCUGAGGCGCGAAAGCUAGGGGAGCAAACGGG
rnacentral:rRNA from 1 species